CACACCAAAAAAAAAAAAAAAAAAAAGGUAGCACAGGAGUGGAGUUGGGGCUCUGGGGGUCUACGCACUUGGAGCCUGAGGGACCCUUGAGCUUCUCCUAGGCGCAGUUGGAAGGUAGUCCCUAAGGUCCCUAAGGGCAACUCACUAUGUCGCCUCGGCUGUUCUUGAACGCACGAUCCUCCUGCCUCAGCCUUCUUCUGUGUGCUGGGAUUGCAGACUAACUCAGACUUACUGAGUCAACUCAGGCAGAAGCUGCCUUGACUCCCUGGUUUCUCUUCUAAUACUGUAUUUCUGUUGGGAGGGAGGGCACUAAGGCAGGCUACAUGGACACGAAAGCCUAGGAUGGGCGAGGUUCUGGGGCCAACUCCGAGGCAGCUCCUGAGUUUGAGGCUGGAAUCAGCCCCGCUGAGAUGCCAUAAAUUCGCCUAAAAUGCCACGUUUCACUGUGGCUCUGGCUAACUCAGUGCUGGGUGGAGCUGCGGGCGUCCUCCUUGGCGCCCCCUAGGGUGACCACAAAUGGAGGAAAAGAAAUAACAGAGUCCAGGCUGUCCCUUGGGACAACCCCUAAGAGAUCCCAAAGACGACAAGCACGAGGCACAUAUGCCGCUUCCCUGUGUUGGGCAUGUGGCGGACAGCGGUCUGUCACAUGACCUUCACCCCCAAAGUCUGGACUGGCAUCAGAAUCCCCCACACAGCUCCUCUGCCUACUCCCAAUGAAUUGGCACUGCCAGGCUACAGGAAAGAUCUUUGCCAUGUCUGUUAUUUUGGAGAUAAUUAACUUGAGGCUCAGGAGGGAAAACAGCUCACUCCAGGUCAUACAACAGGCUGGUGUCUGAACCAAGCUUCCAGAUGUCCAGAGGUCUCUAAGUGUUGGCCUUGCUUUCUUUUUGUCUUCUGAUAAGUCUAGAUCCUAACGCUAUACCUGACACACAGUGGCCCGGAUAGAUUUCUAAGUAAGAGGGGUGAAUAUUAAUACCAAGUUUCUGAACAGACCCAGCUCUGGAGAGAGCUGCUGUCUCUCCUAUUCCUGUUUUCUCAGCGACAUCGAGGUCUGUGGCUUGACUGGUGAGGGCAGAGCUGCUGUGCCGAGGAGGACAUCCCCAGUCGAAGGAGGAGGCUGUUUUCCUAAAUGAUUCCGUCAGGUCACUACUUGCUGGUCCUGGCUUCCCAGAUGGGGAACCCCAAUCCAGGGAGCCGCUCAGCUAAGAUCGCUCCUCAGACAGCCUGCCCUCCCACCUAAGGCCUGCUCCGCGCUGUAGCACCAGCGCUGAGGGGUGCAGGAAUGUAACCCUGGAGAAUUACUGCUCAAAGUGUUGCCUCCGAGGCAAAGAAGUGCCCUUCCGGAAGAAAAUGCACGCCCCUCGGUUCCCUGGUCCCUUUUGGGGAGACUCACCCCAACACCCCUUUCCCUGAGUGUCCUUCAGGACACAGAAGUCCAGUCCACAACUAGCAGGGUGAGAAGGGCCAGGGAAGGGGGUGCAUGGAGAGGGUGAACCCCAACCUAACCCCAGACGGGCUGGACCUAACCCUGUGCGGAGUCUGCAUGUCUCAAAACCGGGUGUGGAAGGGCCCGAGCUCUGUCUUACCUUCCCCACCCGCUUCCAGUGCACCCCACGCCCAGCCUGUGCUCGGUCAGAAGAGUCUGGUGUGGGGGUUGCUCAGACCCAGACUCGGUAAAGGCUGGCGGGUUCCUGGGAUGACUGGGGAGGCGGGGGGUGCACUACCCAAGCCCGGGAGCCUAGUGCCACUUCAGGCUGCCCGGCGCCAGGGUGGAGAAGCAGGAAGGCAUGAGGGGGAUGAGGGGAAAGCCUCACCUUUGCCUUUCAGAGCUCAUCAUUUAUGCAAAGUCUCUUUUUAGAAAACAGUGCCCCUGACUCAGAACCAAGUCUGGAAGGUCUGUCCUCCCGGAACAGGGCACACGACGCCUCUGGCUGCCAGCCAGGGGCCAGUCCCUGCUGCAACUGUGACAGGAUCAGCUUCCCAGGAAAGGAGGAGACUGCCACAGUCCCAUAGGGGGCAAAGAGGAGAUGGGGGGGAGAGAGAGAGAGAGAUUCCCCAAAGACACAGUGAGAUUAUUUCCUGCAGACCUAAAAGGGGUUCCACUGUGAGUCCGCCUCCUAAAAAGCAACAGGCGACAGACAGGCGGACCGGUCAGGGACCGCAUCCGUAAUUUAAGCCAGGGAACCCGAGCGGAUGGAGCUCCGUCCACGUGACCUGGCUCGUUUUCGUGAUGCUGCUGAUUAAUCAGCUCUUUCUGCAGAGGUUCCAGUUCUGCGGGCCUCACGGCGGGCGCCUUCAGAGACGCAGGGUGAAGGAGACAGAGCCACCCCGAAGAAACUGGUUCACCCAGAGGCUGGCUUCUCUAGAACAGAAGAGGCAGAAGCGGGCAGGAGACCUUGUCUGGGUAGUCACUGUAGCGCUUCACACGCCGCCUGCAUUAUCUCGCAGGGAUGACGACUGCUCUCUUACCAAGAACGCACCAUGUGGAUUCUGUUAUGUUUAUUUCACCACAAUUAAAAAAGAACCAUGCUGCGUGGGGGAUGUAGCUCAGUGGUAGAGCACUUGCUUAGUAAGCACAGGCCCUGGUUCAAUCCCGAACAGUGAAAAACAAUCAUCCCUAAUAGGCCAAGAUUUAAACGUUUAAGAAAUAAUGUUGCAAUUAUUUUUGUUAAAAGUGCGCCCAAAGACAUGUUGGAAUUUGACUUGAAUUUUUACCUUCUAGCAAGGUCACACACUGCUAUAUUUUCUAAGGACUAUAUUAUGGGUUUUUAAAUUUUGCUUUUCCCAUGCCGGGCAUGGUGUUGCAUAUCUGUAAUUGCAGCACUUGGGAG